UAUAUUGAGGAAAACUGCAGUUAUAGUCACUUAAAUUGUUCAAACUGUAGGGAUGAGAAAGUUUAGAAUUUCUGUAUUGAUGUUUGACGCUGGUGUUUCUACUCUCAGUGUGUUCUGAGUGACAGUGUGUGUUAUCUAGAUGAG